rnacentral:lncRNA from 1 species
CAGAACAUGAUGUGGAACAUGUACAACAACACACGCAUUAGAGCACAACUAUACAUGACACCCCCAAGGUAGAAAGAUGAUCGCUGGCCUUGUUGGUAGAGUAGAAUUCAGUAAUUACCAGAUUCUGAAUACUACAAACCAUUUCUGUCACAGUUUUUGCCUGCCUUCCUUAUCCAACCCUAAGGAUAGCAUUCUGCUACAUUGUCAGCUUCUUCAAAUUUCAAAUUCUAGGACAGGAUUAGAAGAAAAUUCCGUCAUCUUCCUAUGAACAAGAUGGUGUGUAUCAAUCAGAAAGGAUUAAUAGGCAUAACAGAACCAAUAAACAAUUGGUGUAAAGAUGCUUACACCAUUUGUGCAUACAAUCAAAUUGAGGUCCUUCUAAAUCGA